UGCAAAGGUUUCCUCGAGCCGGACGAAGGUUGGCCCUCGAGUGCAAAGGCAGAAGGGAACUUGACUGCAAAACCUCUGAAGAUAUCUUUUUGAGAGGAGAAGCAAGAAU
rnacentral:rRNA from 1 species